rnacentral:rRNA from 1 species
UGGGCAACCUGCCCUCAGCUCUGGGAUAACCCCGGGAAACCGGAGCUAAUACCGGAUACGAGACGAAGCUGCAUGGCUAUCGUCUGGAAAGUUUUCCGGUCUGGGAUGGACUCGCGGCCUAUCAGCUUGUUGGUGAGGUAAUGGCUCACCAAGGCGACGACGGGUAGCCGGCCUGAGAGGGCGACCGGCCACACUGGGACUGAGACACGGCCCAGACUCCUACGGGAGCAG